rnacentral:rRNA from 1 species
CCCUUACGGGCUGGGCUACACACGUGCUACAAUGGUGGUGACAGUGGGCAGCGAGCACGCGAGUGUGAGCUAAUCUCCAAAAGCCAUCUCAGUUCGGAUUGCACUCUGCAACUCGAGUGCAUGAAGUUGGAAUCGCUAGUAAUCGCGGAUCAGCACGCCGCGGUGAAUACGUUCCCGGGCCUUGUACACACCGCCCGUCACACCAUGGGAGUUGGUUUUACCCGAAGGCGCUGCGCUAACCUUAAAGGGGGCAGGCGACCACGGUAGGGUCAGCGACUGGGGUGAAGUCGUAACAAGGUAACC